GAAAGAAACAGGGCACAGCUCAGCCUGUCUCUGGCCCAGCCUCUUCCACAGACGUAUGCUGCAGCCAGCCCAGCUCAGAGAGCAGUGGGGACACAUGAUCUCAUCCUGUCAAACCAAGCAACAUGGGUCCCAUUGAGGCUUAGAUGGAAGAUCCCAGGUAUCUCGUGGAGAGGACGUGUCUGGGAUCCUGGAGACUGUUUCCUGCUGGAGGUUUGAGCGG